rnacentral:piRNA from 1 species
UGAGAGGUGUGAUAGCUGCUGGGUUC